ACAAGGGCGCAGGGCGAAUGCCUUGGCACUGGGAGCCGAUGAAAGACGUGAUAAGCUGCGAUAAGCUUCGGGGAGCUGCAAAUAAGCAUUGAUCCGGAGAUUUCUGAAUGAGGAAACUCACCUGGGUUCAUACUCAGGUACGUUAUACUGAACUUAAAAAUAGGUAUAUCGAGGGAACCGCCUGAACUGAAACAUCUAAGUAGGGCGAGGAAGAGACAUCAAACGAGAUUCCGUAAGUAGUGGCGAGCGAACGCGGAAGAGGGCAAACCGGGAGUAGAAAUACUCCCGGGGUACGGACUGCUUUUAGGACUUAAUCUGUUAACCGAACGGCAUGGGAAGGCCGGUCAGAGAGUGUGAGAACCACGUAGGUGAAAACGGAGAGAGCUGUGCAGGAUCCAGAGUACGGCCAGACACGUGAAACCUGGUCGGAAUAUGGGGGGACCACCCUCCAACCCUAAAUACUACCCAGUGACCGAUAGCGUAUAGUACUGUGAAGGAAAGGUGAAAAGCACCCCGGGAGGGGAGUGAAAAAGAACCUGAAACCCUGUGCCUACAAGCACCUAGAGCACGUCAAUGUGUGAUAGGGUACUUUUUGUAGAACGGUCCGGCGAGCGAUUGUAUGCAGCAAGGUUAAGGACUUAAGGUCUGGAGCCGAAGCGAAAGCGAGUUUGAAAAGGGCGUUAAGUUGCAUACAAUGGGCCCGAAACCGGGUGACCUACCCAUGGUCAGGUUGAAGUGGAAGUAAAAUUCCAUGGAGGACCGAACCGACCUCCGUUGAAAAGGCGGCGGAUGAACUGUGGGUAGCGGAGAAAUUCCAAUCGAACCCGGAGAUAGCUGGUUCUCCCCGAAAUAGUUUUAGGACUAGCCUCAAGUUAGAUACCUGGAGGUAAAGCACUGAAUAGCCUAGCGGCCGAGAGGUUAGCGAAGCUUAUCAAACUCAGAAUGCCAGAGUAUUGAUGCUUGGGAGUCAGACAGUGUCAGAUAAAUGUCAUUGUCAAAAGGGAAACAGCCCAGAUCUACAGCUAAGGUCCCAAAGUCAGGUUAAGUGGAAAACGAUGUGAAGAUACGUAGACAACCAGGAUGUUGGCUCAGAAGCAGCCACACAUUCAAAGAGUGCGUAAUAGCUCACUGGUCGAGCGUCUUUGCGCGGAGAAUUUAACGGGGCUAAACCUGACACCGAAGCUUAGGCAAUACAGUAAUGUAUUGGGUAGGGGAGCGUUGUAUACGCGGUGAAACAGUAGCGCAAGCGGCUGUGGAGUGUAUAGAAGUGAGAAUGCCGGAAUGAGUAGCGCGAAUGCAGUGAGAAUCUGCAUGGCCGAAAGCCUCAGGUUUCUGGAGGAAGGUUCGUCCGCUCCAGGUUAGUCGGGAGCUAAGGUGAGGCCUAACGGCGUAGCCGAUGCACAGACGGUAGAGAUUCCGUCACCACCAAAAGAGUUAAACACAGGGACACAUUUGAAGUCUCGGAGCCGGGUGUUGGUUCCGGUAGCGAUCGAGGGAAGUUAGUACCGAAGUCCGGGAUGGAAGAUGGCGAGAAAAGCUGUGUGUAUUUCUGCGGUGCCCGUACCGCAAACCGACACAGGUAGGUAGGAAGAAGAUUCUAAGGCCAACGGGAGAAGGGUUGUUAAGGAACUCGGCAAAUUGACCCCGUAACUUCGGGAGAAGGGGUGCUCCAGAGAUGGAGCCGCAGAGAAUCGGCCCAAGCAACUGUUUACCAAAAACACAGGUUUGUGCUAAAUCGAAAGAUGACGUAUACGAGCUGACGCCUGCCCGGUGCUGGAAGGUUAAGAGGAGAUGUGCAAGCAUUGAAUCGAAGCCCCAGUGAACGGCGGCCGUAACUAUAACGGUCCUAAGGUAGCGAAAUUCCUUGUCAGGUAAGUUCUGACCCGCAUGAAAGGCGUAAUGAUUUGGGCACUGUCUCGACAGCCCGCCCGGCGAAAUUGUAGUACCGGUGAAGAUGCCGGUUACCCGCGACAAGACGGAAAGACCCCAUGGAGCUUUACUGUAGCCUAAUAUUGGGUUUCGAUGUUGCAUGCACAGGAUAGAUGGGACACAGGGAAACAAGUGCUUUGGCAUUUGUGGAGUGGCCGUUGGGAUACCAUCCUUGCGAUAUUGGAAUUCUAACCUGCGCCUUUGAAUCAAGGCGGGGGACAUUGUUAGGUGGGCAGUUUGACUGGGGCGGUCGCCUCCUAAAGAGUAACGGAGGCGUUCAAAGGUUCGCUCAGCUUGAACGGAAAUCAAGCAAAAGAGUGCAAACGCAGAAGCGAGCCUAACUGCGAGACUGACGGGUCGAGCAGUAACGAAAGUUGGAGUUAGUGAUCCGGUGGUAUGUGAGUGGAAAUGCCAUCGCUCAACGGAUAAAAGUUACCCUGGGGAUAACAGGCUGAUCUCCCCCAAGAGUCCACAUCGACGGGGAGGUUUGGCACCUCGAUGUCGGCUCAUCGCAUCCUGGGGCUGUAUUCGGUCCCAAGGGUUUGGCUGUUCGCCAAUUAAAGCGGUACGCGAGCUGGGUUCAGAACGUCGUGAGACAGUUCGGUCCCUAUCUGUCGUGGGCGCAGGAUAUUUGAUGGGAGCUGUUCCUAGUACGAGAGGACCGGAGCGGACGUACCUCUGGCGCACCAGUUGUUCUGCCAAGGGCAUAGCUGGGCAACUAUGUACGGAUCGGAUAAACGCUGAAAGCAUCUAAGCGUGAAGCCGACCCAAAGAUAAGAUAUCCCAUUGUUUCAAACAAGUAAGACCCCUUGAAGACUACAAGGUUGAUAGGCACGAUGUGUAAGUGGAGUGAUCCAUUCAGCAAGCGUGUACUAAUAGGUCGAGGGCUUGACCA
rnacentral:rRNA from 1 species